rfam:Legionella adelaidensis strain 1762-ATS-E Lade_ctg001, whole genome shotgun sequence.
CGGGGUGUAGCGCAGUCUGGUAGCGCGCCUGCUUUGGGAGCAGGAUGUCGGGAGUUCGAAUCUCUCCACCCCGA